rnacentral:rRNA from 1 species
UGCCAGCAGCCGCGGUAAUACGUAGGUGGCAAGCGUUGUCCGGAUUUAUUGGGCGUAAAGGGAGCGUAGGCGGUGUCUUAAGUCUGAUGUGAAAGCCCACGGCUUAACCGUGGAGGGUCAUUGGAAACUGGGACACUUGAGUGCAGAAGAGGAGAGCGGAAUUCCAUGUGUAGCGGUGAAAUGCGUAGAUAUAUGGAGGAACACCAGUGGCGAAGGCGGCUCUCUGGUCUGUAACUGACGCUGAGGCUCGAAAGCGUGGGGAGCAAACAGGAUUAGAUA